rnacentral:rRNA from 1 species
GAUGAACGCUGGCGGCGUGCCUAAUACAUGCAAGUCGAGCGAACGGACGAGAAGCUUGCUUCUCUGAUGUUAGCGGCGGACGGGUGAGUAACACGUGGAUAACCUACCUAUAAGACUGGGAUAACUUCGGGAAACCGGAGCUAAUACCGGAUAAUAUUUUGAACCGCAUGGUUCAAAAGUGAAAGACGGUCUUGCUGUCACCUAUAGAUGGAUCCGCGCUGCAUUAGCUAGUUGGUAAGGUAACGGCUUACCAAGGCAACGAUGCAUAGCCGACCUGAGAGGGUGAUCGGCCACACUGGAACUGAGACACGGUCCAGACUCCUACGGGAGGCAGCAGUAGGGAAUCUUCCGCAAUGGGCGAAAGCCUGACGGAGCAACGCCGCGUGAGUGAUGAAGGUCUUCGGAUCGUAAAACUCUGUUAUUAGGGAAGAACAAAUGUGUAAGUAACUGUGCACAUCUUGACGGUACCUAAUCAGAAAGCCACGGCUAACUACGUG